GGCUGAACUGCUCCUAUCUUCAGAUCUCACGGACUCCUCCGAAAUCGAAGACAGACAAGGAGGAUCAGAUGAUGGGAUAAAAAGAUAGAGAAUUUCUUUCUCUCUUGGUUUUUUCCCAAAAAUCCUAGAUCUGAUCUAGGUAUCUCACUAAAGAGGAGAAGGUUCUCCUCUAUGCUCACACACCCAAGAUGGCCGUCCAACCCCAAAACCUCACACCCAAAACCCUAGCCUCACACUAGAAACUUUUUCCUCUAUUUUCUCUCUUUCUUGUUUUGUUGCACAAAACUCAAGGCUUCUUAUAGAUGGCAUGGAUAGGGAGAAAGAGUCCAAGUUCAAAUCAAAUUCGAAUCAAGAUAAGGAUCAAGUUUCACACUGAAUUCAAAUCCAAUUUAAAUUCAACUAGAACCAAAUCUUGUCUCAUCCUUAGUGCUCUCAGAGUGGGCGACAUAAAACCUUUUAGCAUGGAGUUUCUCAUGCAAAUCUGAAUUUGCAUUGAGGUGUGGGUAGGUGCACAAGGGUGGUCGGUGUUAGAGAGGAGUCCAAGUUGAUUUGGACUCUUAGGUUUUAUCCAAUAGGUCUUCAACCUAAUCAAAUUAGGUUAGACCCAAUUGAAUAACUUGAACCCAAUCUAAUUAGGUUCAAACUUGAUUAAAUCAAAAUUUAAUUAAGUCCAAUUUCUGAUCAAAUCAAAAAUUAAUCACCCUUAGCAAUUAGGUCAUCUCAUAACCAAAUCGGAUCAAAUCAAAUCGAAUCCAAUUCAAUUAGACUUGAACCAAAUUACAUUGCUUAGUCAAAUUAAGCUAAUCAGUAAUCUAAUUGCUUAUCAAUCUUUCUUUAAUUCACCAACUCUUAGUAAAUUAAUCUACUAUAAUAUUUGCAUCAAGUUAACCAUAAAUAAUAUUGAUGAUUAAACUCAAGAAUGAUUUUCAAUCAUUGAUCAGCCACUUGAUCACAUAUAAAUUUUUUUAAGUGUGAUCCCAUAGAUUUGAACUUAAGCUGAUAGCAUAAGAAUAACUAUCUAAACUAAUUGAUGUAACCAUCUAGCAAUAGAAUCUAACAUCUGGAUAGGUCGAAUGAUUGUAAAGCAACAUUCAAGAAUCUACUGGCAUAUGGUUACCGUAUAAUUCAUCUUUUUGAUCCUAAUACUCAAGGUGACCUAGGAUUUAACUGUCGAUCUUGAAAUAGUCAACCACAUUAUAUCUUAACCUUUCAAAUCUAUUACAUGAAUUUUUCUGAUCAAGAUUUUACUAAAUUAAAAUAUAGUAAUGUAUUAACUCCUAAAUCUGGAGAGGUCAAUCCCAUCUUGACUUGCACACCAAUUUAACAAGUACUUGACUGCACUCAAAAAUCUUUCAUCACUGAAUUAAAAAUUCAGAUAAUUCGAUACCAAAGUAUAGUGAGUUUCUUGUAAGUCACCAUGAUGAUCUUAGAUUGGAGGAACACUUAUAUCCAUUCCCUUCACGAGCUACUGUUGACAGCAGAGUGCUUUGCAGUUGGUUACGUUUGGUACAAAUGUACUCUUAUAUUUUACCUGCAUGCCAUACCAAUGUCUCCACACUCCUUGGUUAAGAGGACAACCAACCCAUAUGGCAUACAAUGAUCUACACUUGAUAUCGCUAUCAUCCUAUUAAUAGCGUAUUGUUUGGCUGUAAAUAAGUUUAAUGACUAAAUGAUAAAUCCUCUUUUAUCAAUUUAAAAUAGUCCUAAAGACUUCAUCACAACACAGGAGUUCAUAUAGAAAAUGUACAAAAAACUUGUGAUGAGUAAUGCUAAAUAAUUUUUAUUAUUAAAAAAUUCAUAUACAAUUACAAAAUGAGCACAACCAUCAAUAGACUAAAGAUUGAUUUUGAGACACAAUUUCUAACAACUCCCACUUGGACUAAAGCCAAUCAAUAUAGUAUUGCAAAUCCAUCUUCAAUUUAUGAUUAUCGAACUCCUUGACAUUAAGGGCUUUAGUAAAUGGAUCAGCUAGAUUCUUCUUUCCUUCGAUCUUCUGGAGAUCGACAUCAUCUCGAUCCACGAUCUCCUAGAUCAGGUGGUAGUGGCGUAGUAUAUGCUUGGUGUAUUGAUGGAACUUCGAUUCCUUCAUUUGAGAAAUGAUGCCAGUACUGUCGCAAUAUAACAGGAUCAAACCAUCGAUGUAGGGUGCCAAUCCGAGUUCGUCGAUGAACUUCUGCAACCAUACAGCUUCCUUUGUAGCAUCGGAUACCUCAACAUACUCCACCUCACAAAUUGAGUCAGCCACGAUGUGCUGCUUAAAAUUUUUCUAGUAGACUGCUCUACCAUUCAGGAUAAAUAUAUAUCCUGACAUGCUCUUGCUAUCGUCAUGAUCUGACUGAAAGUUAGAGUCUGUGUACCCCAUAAGUUUCAAAUCAGAUUCUCCAUAAAUGAGCUACUGGUAUUUAGUAUUUCUCAAAUACUUGAGAAUAGUUUUCACAACCUUCCAAUAAUUUUCUCCUGGAUCAGACUGAUACUUGCUCACUACCCCUAGUGAGUAGACAACAUCUGAUCUCGUACAUGUAAUGACGUAUAUGAUGAAUCUCACUGUUGAAGCAUAUGGAAUACUACUCAUACACUCUCUUUCAUGAAGGAUUGUCAGACAAUCCCUCUUUGAAAGAGAAAUUUCAUGGACUAUCGAAAGAUAGCUUUUCUUAAAAAUCUCCAUACUAAACCACUUCAGCACGGUAUCGUUGUACGUGAACUGGGAUAAUCCAAGCAAUCUCUUCGAUCUAUUUUUAUAAAUCUUCAUCUCAAAGAUGUAGGAUGCUUCUCCCAAAUCCUUCAAAGAGAACUGAGAUGACAAUCAAAUCUUUAUUUUUUGUAAUGCAGGGACGUCAUUCUCGAUUAAAAGAAUAUCAUCUACAUACAAAAAAAGAAAUACAACUACAAAACUAUUUACCUACUUGUAGAUGCAGGGUUCUUCUCUAUUCCUAAUGAAGCCAUAUGUUUGGAUCACCUUAUCAAAAUACAUAUUCCAACUCCUGGAGGUCUGCUUCAAUCCAUAAAUAGAUCUCUAAAGCUUGCAUACUUUCGACUCAUCUGUGAAUGUGAACCUUUAGGUUGUGUCAUAUACACCUCUUCUUUUAGCUCUCCAUUUAGAAAAGUAGUUUUUAUAUCCAUUUGUCAAAUUUCAUAAUCUAAAUGUGCCACUAUCACAAAUAUAAUCUGAAUAGAUUUGAGCAUUGUCAUAGGAGAAAAUAUCUCGUCAUAGUCAAUACCAUAACAUUGACGAUAUCUCUUAACAACCAGAUGGACUAUAUAGGUCUCCAUCUUUUUGUCUGUGUCCUUCUUCCUUUUGAAAAUUCACUUACAUUCUAUGGAUUUUACCCUUUCAGGUGGGUCAACUAAUGUCCGUAUAUCAUUGACCUUCAUGGAUUUUAUUUUAGACUUCAUGGCUUCAAGCCACUUAUCAGAGUCAGAGCAUCCAUAUAGGUGAUCAGAUCCUCAUUGUUCUCAUCGAGUUCAGUAGGAUCACCAUCUCAGACCAAAAAAUCAUAAUAUCUAUCCAACUGACACACGCGGUACUCUAUCGGAUCUCCAUAAUGGUGCAUCUACAAUAGGCUCAGGGUUUGAUCCAAUCAAAUCUUGUUCUUUAGGUUCAUUAGAUUAUGUCGGUUCAUCUACCAUCGAACUUUAUCAAGUUCAACCUCUAGAGGCAUUAGUUCCUUCAUCAAGGAACUCCUUUUCUAAAAAGAUUGCUUUAAGGUUGACGAACAUCUUUUGUUCAUCAGCAAGGUAAAAAUAAUAUCCCUUAGUUUCUUUUAGGUAUGCUAUGAAAAUAUACUUCUCUGACCUAGGUUUGAGCUUGUUUGUAAUUAAAUGCUUCACAUAAGCUGGACAUCCCCAGAUCCUAAGGUGUGAGAACAUCGACUUACGCCCUAUCUAUAUCUCAUAUGGUGUUUUGCUCAUAGACUUACUCAAAACUCUAUUAAGUACAUAGCAAGCCAACUCAAAUGCAUAUCCCUAAAAGGAGAUCAACAGACUAAUAAAGCCCAUCAUGGACUGAACUAUGUCCAACAGUAUUUGAUUCCUCUUUUCUGAUAUACUAUUAUACUAUGGCAUCUCAAGAGGGAUCCAUUAUGAGAAAACCCAUUCUCUCCUAGAUAUGUCAGAAACAUACUGGUGAGGUACUCAACCCUUCAGUCAGACCAAAGAGUUUUAAUACUCUUUUCAGUUUGUUUCUCUAUCUCAUUAUGAAAUCAUUUGAACAUUUCAAACGAUUCUGACUUAUGUUUUAUCAAGUAAAUGUACCCAUACAUAAAUAGGUCAUUUACGAAUGUAAUGAAAUAGUGAUAUCCACCUCUGGCACUUGUGUUCAUGGGUUCACAUACAUCAGUAUGUAUUAGAUCUAGAACAUCACUAGCUCGUUCACCUUUUUCAGUAAAAGAUGACUUAGUCAUCUUUCCAAAAAGACAAGACUCAUAGGUAGGUAAUGAUUCACAAUUAUUGACUUUGAGAAUUUUCUUUUGGAUCAACCUAUUCAUCCUAUUCUUGUUAAUAUGACCUAGCCUACAAUAUCAAAGGUAGGCAUCCGUAACAUCAUCUAUCCUAAGGUGUUUAUUCGAUGUGUACAUUACACUAGACAGUGAUACAAUGCAAAUACCAUUAUUUAAUUAUCCAUUCAUCACAGUAACACCAUUCAAAAUGACAUUACAAGAACUAUUCUUUAUUGAAAUCUUAUAAUUUUUUUGGCCAAAAGGCCUACAAAAAUUACAUUUAAUAGAAAUGAAGGAUAAAAGUGACAAUCACUAAAAAAAAUGAUAUGAGAAUUGAAUACAAGCUUGAUAAUUUUUAAGGCUAGAACUGAAACUGAUCUUCCAUCUUCAACGUUUAGGAAUCUCUCACCGUCCUCAAAUCUCUUAUUGAUCUAAAGUCCCUGCAAUGAAUUAUAAAUAUUAAUUGGACUACUAGUAUCUAAUACGUAGGUCACAGUACAUAAAUAGAGAAGUUGCAAGAUAUUAUCAUAUAAUUAUCUUGCCCAGCAACUACUUCCUUUUUUUUAUUCGACCUGUUCGGAUCAAGGGAACUUUGUAUUAAAGAUAGUUUCUCUUUCAAUGAUCCUGUUUCUUAUAGUAGAAGCAUUCUAUCUGACUCUGAUUGGACUUAGACUUAGAUUUCUUGGUCUGACACCUAGCAUGUUGCAUCCUUGUAUUUUUCUUUUUUCCUUUCUUAAAGGGAUGAUACUUCACUAAGGAUCCUCCUACUACAUUCACCAUCUCCUUGUGGAGCUGGUAAUCCUUCUCAAAAGUCUGUAACAACUGUUGGGUUCUGGUGAUGCAGCAAAAUAUGAAUUUUAAAAAUUUUAACAUGUAUUCAAUAUUUGAAAAUAAUGUUUAACAAUUAAACAAGACCAUCGGAACACAAAAUCUUAGGAACCCCUUGGUGAUUACAAUCAAACAUCAAAAAUAUACAUAUCAAGAGAAGAUCAAAAGUCAUAUACCAUCAUGAAGAUCAUGAAAUGAUAAUCUUAAGAUCUCCACAAGACUUCAAAGAAGAAGCCCUCCAAUGGUGAUUCACAUGGGACUGAUCAGGAUCCUUUCCAAUUCGUCAUGGCACUGCAGCCUUCUUCACAAGCUUGCUGCUGAUCAUCCUUCGUAAGAACGGAUUGCAUCACUCCUUGUAUUCUUUCAAGACCUCUACUAAGACCUUUUUAGGAAUCCUUUCCCAAAAGAUGUUACCAUACAUAAAUGAGAUUUUAUGUUCAACACAUGAACAAUCUGAUUUCUGGAUAAGUAUCUCAUACUUUUCAUUUUCUCUCUUCCCUUCCUUUCUAUUUUUCUCUCUUUUCAUUGCCUUUUUUCAAUUCAGAUUUUUUUUAACUCUUUCUUAUCUAAUCCCACAUCCAAAAUAAUUUUUAGAUGAUUUUUAUGCCAUAUGGGAUGCCCCUUAUAUAAGGAAUGAAGGGGCACCACAUAAAACACCAAGGGGUGCCAACUUUUGGCGUCCCAUCUCCCUUACACGGUAUCCAUAAAUUUUUUUUCAGGGAAACCAAGGAACUGACAUGAAAAAAGAAGUGAUUGACCAAUAGAAGGACUCUUCCUCUGCUAAAAAAAAAUUAAUACACCAUCUUAAGAUGCGUGGAAAGGGAUUUAAUGUGAGAAAUCAAGAGUCCUUAACAAUUAAGACUCUUCCACAUUGAAUACAUAUAUGUGAGGCAUCCCUUAUUAUUUGGCAUUCAAAUUCCUUCCAAGAGAAGGACUCUUCCUCCUCUUCCACAUCUUAUAUCUCAAGCACCAUCAUAUGUCAUGAGGAAUUAAGGAAAAUAUAUGGAAUUAUAUAAGGAAAUUAAGAGGAGUGAACCAGAAGGACUUUUUCUCUUAAACGCCCAAAUAAAAGAUGCCAUAUUUAUUUUCUCGUGUGGUUUUGAUGUGGAGGUGAUGGAUUCACAUGGAACUCUUUCAUAUAAACCAGAUGAACCAACUAAUAAAUAGAUGGUUCAAACCCAAUCACAUUAGGUCAAGACAAAAAAGUUUAGGUUAGCACAAACAAGUCUAGGUUAGCACUAAACCCAAUUGAAAACUUGGGUUAAUUCAUAUGCUAGCAAUUUAAUUAACCCGUUGAAUUUAUAAUAAAUUUAAAUAGAUUGGAUCAAAAUCAAAUUUUUAUUAUGUGUGACCCAUUGGGUUCCAAAUCUAGCCAGCAAUGGAUCCAGACUCUCGACGUAAUCCUAAUCGAUUGGAUUAGGUCAGGUCAAUAGUCCCAAUCAACUAGGACUCUUCCUAAUUGAUUCUUGAAUUAAACUCUUUUAAUUCUGAUAAGUUCAUAAGUCAAGAUUGAUAUCUAGUAAUGUCUCAUGACUAUCCAGAAGAUUUGAAAUUUGAUAAAAAUAUCAAAAUUAUCCUUCCAUAGUGAGUUAUCGUGCAAUUCAAUCUUUCGAUCACACAACAUCUCAGAAAGGCCAUGGGUAUGAAAAUAUGUCAAACCCAAAUACCUAACCAUAUGUAUCUCAAUCCGAUGAUGAUGACUCGAUUGAUGAAUCAGUAGAAAUUAUUUUUACUGUUCAUCUUUGCUCUGGCCAGAGACUCUCAGAGUCACCAUCCUAUGAGAUCACAUAGGAUGUUCUCUUCUCCUACAAGGAGUGACCGAUUUCUUAUUGACCACUCACAACCUUUAUGUAUACUUCACCAUAUCCAGAAUAUCCCACACACAUCUUCAAGUAGUGUGCUAGGGAAUAAACUAAAGUAAGAGUCCAUGUACAUAAGGUACCAUGAUAAUCUCAGAUCAAAGGAUCACAUGCACUACUCCUACUGAAGAACCAUUUAUUGACAUGCUGAAGGCUCUAUCAGAUAUUCUUUUUGCAGGUCAGUUCAGUGAACUCAUUCUCUAAUAAGCACCUACAUCCUUGUCUUAGUGUCACCACACAAGUGAUUGUGAGAUCAACCACCCUCUCCAUCGAGCAUACAUAGGAUGUACCNNNNNNNNNNNNNNNNNNNNACAUUAUCUCAUCGUAGGACCCUAAAAUCAUUGCCUUAAUCUAUAGGGUUUCUCAUAAUCAUAUAAAUAUGAUGCAGCAAAUGAUAAAAUAUAAUAAUACCUCAUAAAAAAAUAACUAAUGCCAUGCAAAUAAGUAGGAAGAUAAUAAAGAAAAGUUUCUUCACAUCCCUAUGCGAUUGGCUUGUAGGAUACUAUUCUUUCAAUCUUCCACUUGCACUAAAGCCAAUCAUCCCUGUACUUUAUGCCCAUACUAUCAGGGUGGCAAUUACACUGCUGCUGUAUAAGGCUUAGUGAACUGGUCCAUUAUGAUAUUCUUAAUAUUAACUCAUUUUAUGAUCAUAUCAUGAAUGAGGUGAAAGUGCCUAAGAUGUGUGUGGGUACACAGUGAGACCAGACCCAACUCAAUGAUAAACCUUUCAUCAGGCAACUUUCUUUAGCAAUCUUUACUAACAGUAAUUAAUUGAGUCAAACACAGUUUGCUGUUUGAAACUCUUCCAAUUCACUGCUCUUCUAGUACUUCUCAAGUACUAUGAGAAUGCUUUUCAUAAUUUUCAAAAGAUCCUAUCAUGAAUCUGCCUGAAAAUCAAUGAUUAUGCAUAGAACAUAAUACACAUCAAGCUUGGUACAAUGAAUAUAUGGGUAAGUAAACUCCUUUACACCUAUUCAUAUUGAACCCUUUCAAUAUAAAUUUUAUAUACCUAGAAUGGGAUAAGCUCUGCAUCCACUUAUAUCUAUCCCUAUAGAUGCCUAGUAUAUUGGAUGCUUAACCCAAAUCUUAUUUCAUGAAAAUAUUUGUAAUAAGUAUAUCAUUGAUCGAGUGCAAUAUUGGGACUACCUUUCCAAUAUGCUGUAUGUCACCUACAUACAUAACCAAAAAAUUAGUGGGACUCCCACUUGUCUUCUUGUAAACAUACACGGUUUAUCUAUACUUGAUAAAGUCAAAUAUUUUGACUAUUUCAUCAAAAAUAGAGGUACCAUCUCCUUAAAAAUUAUCUGAAUUCAUAAAUGCAUUUGCCCUCCCACUAGAGACAACUUCUCUAGAUGGUGCGUGGUAAUAGCAAUAAUCUAGAUUGACAUCCUUGAUAGCAACCUAUUGGGUCAUACCCAUAGGUGCUCAACCACAGUCCAUACUUAGUUGAUGUUCAGGGUGUUUAUUUCGGAUAUCAAGAUUUCAGACCAACUGUUAGAGUUUCUACUCAUGACGAUCUCCGAAUAGAUCAAGAAAAAUAUUAUUCACAAUAAUAUAUGGUAUAUCAUCAUUCUCAAUGAUAAAUCCAUAUUUGAGUAGUACAUUACACACUCAAAUUGACCUUCGAUGAGAAGGUGUGUUUUAUGGUUGUGCCUCAUCAAUGAGCACAUCUGGUCGAGGAUUAACUUGUGAAUACUACACAGGUUAGGAAAAUUCAUAGAUCUUGAACUUCUCAAGUUCAAUUAUCCUCCCACUGUCUCCUUGUUAGAAAAAAUUUCUUUUCCUAAAAGGUGGUAUACCUACUUGAUAAAAUAUCUUUUGUCUAGUAGGAUGGUAGAAAUAGUAUCACAUACUACUCUUUAGGAUAACUUAUAUACUAAUAAAAAUCUAUCCUAGCACAAACUUAUGUAAAUCAACUCUUUUCACAUAAGUUGGACAACCUGUCUUUUGCCUUUUCCAUAUCUCAUAUAGAGUGCUCGUAAUAGAUUUUGAUGGUAUCUAAUUCAAAAUAUAUACAGCAAUUUCUAGAGUAAAUCUCCAGAAUGAGAAUCAAAAUUUGUGAAGCAUAUUAGAGAACACACCAUAUCUCAUAUGGGAUAUCCAUCUCUGAGUCAUGAUGUUAUUAGCCUUCGAACAUCCAUAUGUUCAAGACCUAAUAUCUUACUUGCCUUUUUUUAUGUCCAAUAAAUGGCAUCUUGAUCAUUUUAUCCAUGAGAUAAGAUUUAUAAAUUUUAUAUGAUUCAUAAUUAUACAGACAAAGAACUCUUCUUUGCAUUACUUGUUUAUCUUUGACUCACAAAAAUAGCCAAGUUGGCAAUACCCAAGAUAUGUGACCAUCACAUAUUCAUUUCUUAUUCUUAUCAAUAUUAAGAAUAAUAUCAUUGAGUGACAGAAAUAUAAGACCAUAGCCAUAAAUUUUUUUAGAAGGAGAGUAAUUUUUACUCUUAACAUUAAUUUCAAAUCUAUGUUACAAUAACUUAGGGAUUGAAAUAAUAUUUCUGAUAAACAAUGGUCUAGUUUCUAAAUAAGUAGGUUCGUACAGCCUUAGCAUGAAUGGACUAUCCAUCAGUGCCAAAAUGCGAGUAGUCACCUUACUUUAGCUUUAUAGGUCCAGCAAUACUUUGCAUAAGUAGAAUCUAUAUAAGGUAUCACAUACCUAAAAUUUUGAAGUUGAAAAAUACUCAAUGAUAAUUAAUUUGUAUCUCAUACAAAUUAUUAGCAGAUGCAACUUUUAUAUCCUACUAUUGCUUCAUAUUUGCAAGAUAAUUCUUGUAAUUUAGUGCUCAUCAUUGUUGUAAUGAUAUUAGAUACUUAUAGUGAAGACAUUCUUCACCUUCUUCUCCUAAGGGAUACUAAAGAAGAAAUUAAGGAGAGUUAGCAGGAUCUAAUCCUAAAAUAACUCAUCAUCCAUGAUUAUAACCUAAUCGGAUGAUUAAGUUAAUCAGGAUACACUUUGACAGUCAUACCGUCAUCCUCAUCAUAUCUCAUAUGCGAUUUUUUCUUCUAUACAGUAUCAACUCUGAUUAAAUUAAAAUUAGGAGAAUAGGAUACUUUCUCCUAUAUGAGAAUUAUUCUCUAGUUCCUCAACCAUUCCAUGAUGUUCGAUCAAUUUUAAAACAAUCCUAUGCAGUGCUAAUAAAGAUGCAUAAGUAUAAAUAAGAACAUAAAAAGAAUUACUCAUGAUGACAUACACAAGUUAGAUGAAGAUUUUAUUUAAUUGAGUCUCCCACUAUUUUAACAAAUUUUAUAGCCCUCAAGUAUGAAAUCGAAGAACCUUAUUAUGAAGUUUUUUAGUGGGGUUGAGAUCUCAAGUCCUCAUAAAAAGUUUUGUGGAUAGUACAACAAGCUCCUAUGAGUUCAAGGGUAAGUAACUCUUUACUAAUUGCAUCUCAUACAACUCUCAGCAUAACUUUUGCCUCUAAAAUACUUACAGCCUUGUGGAUAGCACAACAAACUAUAGUAUUUUAGUUAAGUCAUAUCCUUCAAUCUUAUAUGGUCAUACCUGAAUAAUACUAUCCUUGUGGAUAGCACAACAAGACAAUAUUACGAGAAUAUGUCAUAAGCAUCACUAAGUCAACAUCAUACCAACUACUAUAGCAAGUUUUGUGGAUAGCACAACUAACUCACUAUAGUUUUUAAUAUAUUCUAUUGAUCUAGUAUGAGCUAAAUAUAAUUAGCUUCAUUAUGCACUAAGAUAGUAUCAAACCAAUCCCCACAAUAAACCUUGUGGAUAGCACAACAAGUCUACUAUGGUUCUUGAGAUAAUACUGGCUUAGCAUGAAGGAAGGUAUGGAUAGUGUUCUUAACACUUCACCAUUAUGACUUAAUAUAAUUUGAAUGAGGGACUUUAGGUGUCAAGCACAUCCUAAACAUUUAAUUAUGCAAUAUAUGUAAUUUAAAUUUAUAACUACCAGCAUGUAAGAGCAUAUAUAAAGGAAGACAAAUAGUUAUGGACUUUUGAAAAAAUCAUCUGAGCCACAAUAUGAUUAAUGGGUCUAACCCUAGGUGCAUCAUAGAUUGAACCAUCUCAUGGUCAAUCUUAAUGCACCUCUGCUCUCUAAAAAUCUAAUAGUCAAGUCUUCAUCAUCAUGAAGUCUACCAUGAAUGCUUGAUCUUUUAUUUGAAAAUAGAAAGAAAUAAUUUCUAUCUGUUCUCAAAUAAUUUUUUUCUAUAAUUUUACAUCAAUAUGUAAAAAUCCCAUUCAACAGUUGAAAAUAUCGAAAAAAAAAGUUCAGCUGAUAAUAUAAUGCAUCAAGGGCACCUAACCCUUAUUGCAACUCUUGCAGAUGCAUUAAUAUAAUCAACUAAUUGGAAAGCAUUCAUGCAUACAUCCAUCACAUGGGUGUUCCAUAGUCCAUAACCAUAUAACAAGCAUUUUAUAAUAAUUAUAAAAUAUUAUAAUUCAUAUUAUUUUUAUUGUGAUAUCAUUCAUACACAUGUCAAUUAAGAUGUUCAAAUUUAUGGGCAUAAGACUCAUCUUAGGAUUUUUUGAUUCAGGUUCAACUCUUGACCCAAAUAUUAACUUUAAAUCAUAUCAUUUGUCAUUCUUUUGAGUUAGGUUGAUUUAUUCUUAAAUUAACCCUAAUCCAAUUAGGUUAGCAUAGACUCGAUCAACUAUGACUCAAAUCCUAAUCAAAUUAGAUAAAUGACAAUUAGAUCAACCUAAAUAAAAAUAUGAAUUCUAAUCAAAUUAGAACUAAAAAUUUGAUUUAAUCUAUAAUCAUUAAUUUUAAAUACUUUAUAUCAAUAAAUUAUAGUUAAAUCAAUCUAUCGGCAAAAAUCCUAAUCCAUGUCUGAUGCAUCAUUUCCAUGAUCAAAAAUUUUUUGGCCCCACACAUACCUCGAGCAUCAAUCAAGAUGGUCAACCCACAAUGGUGAGUGCCUGAUAACAUGGUGGCCUGCGCUUGGAUUUUAAGUGAAUACAUCAAAUGUAAAAAUUCUAAGUCUUGGCAAUCUACAUCCAUAUGUAUUAUUCCAAGGCACUAUGCAUCACAUGCAUUGGAUUUCAAUUCCAUCAAAAAUUAGAUCAUGAGAUCUAAUCUUAAACUUAUCUUACAAGUCUAAAAACCAUGGAAUUCACAUAUCCAAAAUUUGAUCAUGGAGAUAACAUUUAUCAUUUACAAAAAUAUAUUAUAAACAUCAAUCAAAAAAUUUGAUUUUGACAUAGUUUGAAUUGGAUCUAAUCCAUAUCACAAAAAUAAUAUGAAAUUUAACUGAAUCAAUCAAGGGUGGCUUUGAUAUCACUGUUGAAUUUUGGUGAUGCAGCAAAAUAUAAAUUUUAAAAAUUUUAAUAUGUAUUCAACAUUUGAAAAUAAUGUUUAACAAUUAAACUAGAUCAUCGGAACAUAAAACCCUGGGAACCCCUUGAUGAUUACAAUCAAACAUCAGAAACAUACAUAUCAGGAGAAGAUCAAAAGUCAUAUACCAUCAUGAAGAUCAUGAACUAGUAAUCUUAAUAUCCCCACAAGACUCCAAAGAAAAAGUCCUUCAACGGUGAUCUACACGGGACUGAUCAGGGUCCUUCCCAAUUCGUCAUGGCACUGCAGCCUUCUUCGCAAGCUCGCUGCUGAUCGUCCUUCGCAAGAACGGAUUGCACCACUCCUUGUAUGCCUUCAAGACCUCUACUAGGAUCUCUUUAGAAACUCUUUCUCAAAAGAUGUUAUCACACACAAAUCAAAUUUUAUGUUCAACACAUGAACAAUCUGAUUUUUGGACAAGUAUCUCAUACUUUUCUUUUUCUCUCUUCCCUUCCUUUCUAUUUUUCCUUCUCUUUUCAUUGUCUUUUUCACUUUAGAUUUUUUUCACCUCUUCCUUAUCUAAUCCCACAUCCCAAACAAUUUUUGGAUGAUUUUUAUGCCAUAUGGGAUGCCCCUUAUAUAAGGAAUGAAGGGGCACCACAUAAAACACCAAGGGGCACCAACUUUUGGCAUCCCAUCUCCCUUACACGGUAUCCAUAAAUUUUUUUUUCACAAAAAUCAAGAAAAUGACAAGGAAAAGGAAGUGAUUGACUUGUAGAAAGACUCUUCCUCUACUAAGAAAAAAUUAAUACACCAUCUUAUGGUGCAUGGAAAGGGAUUUAAUGUGAGAAAUCAAGAGUCCUUAACAAUUAAGACUCUUCCACAUUGAAUGCAUAUAUGUGAGGCGUCCCUUAUUAUUUGGCAUUCAAAUUCCUUCCAAGAGAAGGACUCUUCCUCCUCUUCCACGUCCUAUAUCCCAAACACCAUCAUAUGUCAUGAAGAAUUAAGAAAAAUGCAUGGAAUUAUAUAAGAAAAUUAAGAGGAGUGAACCAGAAGGACUUCUCCUCUUAAAUGCCCAAAUAAAAGAUGUCAUAUUUAUUUUCUCGUGUGGUUUUGACAUGGAGGUGGUAGAUUUACAUAGAACUCUUUCAUAUAAAUCAGAUAAACUAACUAAUAAAUAGAUGGUUCAAAAUCAAUCACAUUAGGUCAAGGCAAACAAGUCUAUGUUAGCACAAACACCUUUGCACUGAGCCUAAUUGAGAACUUGGGUUAAUUCAUGUGCUAGUAAUUUAAUUAACCCAUUAAAUUUAUAAUAAAUUCAAAUAGAUUGGACCAAAAUCAAAUCUCUAUUGUGUGUGACCUAUUGGGUUCUAAAUCUAGCCAGUAGUGAAUCCAGACUCUCGACGUAACUCUAAUCCGAUUAGAUUAAGUCAGCUCAAGAGUCCCAAUCAACUAGGACUCUUCUUAAUUGAUUCUUGAAUUAAACUCUUUUAAUUCUGACAAGUUUAUAAAUCAAGAUUGAUAUCUAGCAACGUGUCAUGACUACCCAGAAGAUUUAAAAUUUGAUGAAAAUAUCAAAAUUAUACUUCCAUGGUGAGUUACCAUGCAAUUCAAUCAUUCGAUCACACAACAUUCCAGAAAGACCAUGGGUAUGAAAAUAUGUCAAACCUAAAUAUCUAACCAUAUGUAUCUCAAUCUGAUGAUGAUGACUCGAUUGAUGAACUAGUGAAAAUUAUUUCUAUUGUUCAUCCCUGCUUUGGUCAGAGACUCUCAGAGUCACCAUCCUAUGAGAUCACAUUAGAUGUUCGUUUCUCCUACAAAGAGUGAUCGAUUCUUUGUUGACCACUCACAACCUCUAUGCACACUUCACCAUAUUCAGAAUAUUCCAUACAUAUCUCAAAGUGGUGUACUAAAGAAUAAAUCAAAGUAAGGUUCUAUGUACGCAAGGUAUCAUGGUGAUCUCAUGUCAAAGGAUCACAUGCACUACCCCUACUGAAGAACUAUCUAUUGACAUGCUGUAAGGCUCCAUCAGAUAUUUUUUUUUGUGGGUCAGUUCAGUGAACUCAUUCUCUAAUGAGCACCUACAUCUUUGUAUUAGUGUCACCGCAUAAGUGAUGGUGCCCACCCUCUCCAUCGAGCAUACAUAGGAUGUACUAGUCUUACCAGCAUCAUCGAUCUUCGACUCGAUGAUCCAAUGACUGAAAAUAUUUUAGAUUGGAGCUAUCAAGAUUUUAGAUCUCACUGGUAUGAUCUCAUCAUAACCCUAAAAUUAUUGUCCAAAUCUAUGAGAUUUAUCAUAAUCAUAUAAAUAUGAUGCAGCAAAUGAUAAAACAUAAUACCUCAUAAAAAAAUAACUAAUGCCAUACAAAUGAGUAGGAAGAUAAUAAAAAAAAUCUCUUUGCAUCUCCAUGCGAUUGGCUUGUAGGAUACUAUUCUUUCAACAAACCCAGCAAAUUAUGAUGGUUGACUACAGACUUUGUCAUUCUAUAAUGACUGAGAAAUAGUAGUUAAAAUUUUGGCAAAAAAUUCAAAAUCGCAUCUUUCUCAAGCUAUUCAUGCAAAGAAAAGUCGAGUUUGCUUAGGCAUUCAAUCUAUUCGAUCAUAUACAAUACAUGAUCGAUGACCAAUGCCCCUUCCCUCAUCCAGGCACUGAAGAUGGCACAACUAGUCUUGGGUCACUCAACAUCAUCGAGAGUAUCGAAGGAGUCAUUCAACACUUGAAGUAUGUCCUCGGACUGAGCAUCCUCGAACUUGCGACUGAACUCAUCGUUCAUCGCAGCCCGCAUAAUGCAAUGUACUAUGAUACGAUCGUUGAGCCACUUCUAAUAAGUCUUUACCACACCAUGUGCAUUCGAGGUAGGCUCCUUCGAUGCCAGAUCUGUCAGUACGUACAAGAUCUGCUCAUGCUUCAGGGUGAUUUUUAGUUUUCGAUGUCAGCUAUCCAAAUUGGAUCCCAUUAAUUUGUCACUAUCCAACAGUGAUCGAGGCGACAAGAUGGUGGCCAUAAUUGCACAAAAGAUAAAAUAAAAUCUAAUCAGUAUAUGAAUUAUUAAGCCUAAUGACAUGGACUUUAGUCUAAAGAUUCUCUCACUAUUUUUACGAAUUGAUAGCAUCUACUUUCAAUCUGAAGAAUUAUACUAAUUUUCUAGUAGAUACUAGAAUCCACACAGACUACAUACGAGCCUGACUUUGGCUGGCCCAUCCAUGUGCAUUUAUGGGUAGAUUCUUAAUCAAUUAUUUCUCCAAACAACUUCUAGUAAUUAAUUUUUUUCAAAAAUCUAAUUAGUAGGCUUUGACCUCCACUAUAAGGUUCUGAUUAGAUCCAACCAUUAAUAUAACUACUCUCAAAAAUCUAACUAACAAAUGAUUAGACCCGAUUUUGGUUGGGCCAGUCUAACUACCCAUUAUAGAGACUCAACUGAGCCAGCAUAUUAUGAAUGAUAAUUUCAAUAGUCAAUAAGCAUCAAGCCUUUGGGCCUCCAAUGAUUAUCAAACUAAUGGAUCCAUUAUCACCCAACUUAAUAGGAGGCUAUAAUCUAGUUAUCAUCAUAACUAUCUCAUUUUUAAGAUCUAAUAAUUUAGAGGGUUUGGUUAACAUAAUUUAAGAGAAAAAAAAAAGUUGACCAUCUAAUCAUAAUCCUCCCACUGAUUUCAUCAAGUCAGAUUAAAGAAGACUAGAUUCAAAUCGAUCCUGAAACCCAAAUCAAUCAUACUGAUCAACCUAUGCAGCAUGGGUUAGCAUGAAUCAAUGAGCAAUCGAAUCGAAAGCUGAUUGACCAUAUUGAUCAGAUAAGUAAGAUCAGUGAGAGGGAUAUGCCCUUAACUCGCUAUAGACUCAAUCUAUGCGAGUAGCUCCCAAUUAAUGACUAUUAGUCAAAAUUAUCAAAUUUAUCUUAGACAUCAAUUGGUUCAUCAGUUUCAAUUUGGCUUGUCUAAAGACUCGGACUCAAACACUGAGCCAUGAUCGAUGUCCAUCUUGGUCCAAUCAAAGAUAUGGACUUGACCAACUAUAACUAUUUAUUAAUUCUCAAGAAAAUCUAAUUUAAUUUAAUUCAACUUUUGAUUAGAUUUUAUCAAUUUCUCUGUUAAGUCCAUUUGAUUCUAACCUUAGGUCUAACUCAAUUAAGAGGACCUAAUCAAGCUAACCCAUAGACCCAUGUUUUAUGUGAAUGCUAUUAGAUCUUUAAUUCACAAUUCUAGAUCCAAUUUAAUCAACUAAAUUCUCAAUUAAGUGUUUGAUUUAUAUGGAUUUUUUGUUUAGAUUUAAAAUAAUUUUAAUUUUUAAUUUUAUAAAUUAUUUACAACUGAUUUAUGUAAAAAAAAUUCUAUUUUGAAACUAGGUCAGCUCAUUCCUGAACUGAGCCGGCUAACAUUAGUGGGUCGAUCAAGUUGCUACUUGAUCGGCUAACUAAUGAUGAACAGUAACUAUUACUAUUCAACCUGUGAUAACUAGGUCGGCUCAGUCAACAUUGAGCCAACUAAAUCAGGGGACUGGGUCGGCUCAGUUUAAAAUUGAGUCGGCCAAGUUUGCAUGCUAGCAGAUUUUUCAGAGUUUUAGCACAUAAAAAUUUUGUAUAAUUUGAAAUAAAAUCAAUCAUAAACGAACUUUUAGAUCAUAUCUAAAUAUUUUAUGACUCCAAAUUUUAUUUCUCAUGAUUAAAAUAAUUUUAAUCAUAUAGAUUAGAUGAUUUUAUUUUUCUUAAAAAUUAUAUUGUAUACAAUAAAUCUUAAGAUUUCAAAAAUCUAGGAUUUUACAGAAAAGUAAGUUUUCUUCCUUCUGUAUUUCAUCUUCAUGAACAAAUAGUACCUUUACACACCAUAAGAGAUCCCAUGGAAUGAGAGGCAAGGGUCAUGAAAUCUUACUUUCUCUUAUGACCGAAUGGUCACGAAAGUUCAAUCCGAUUACUAUGCUACUGGGCAUCUAAUUUAGUCAUAUCACAUAUGAUAAAAUUUAGAUCUAAUCUAAAUCAUAUCAGAUCUAAUCAAAAUUAGAUCGUAAGCAUAAAUAUUAUUUAGAUCUAAUCUAAAUAAUAGAAAAUUAGAUUUAACAUGCAUAUAUAAUUAUGUUAUGCCAAAUCUGGCUCUGAUACUACUAAAGAAAAAUCGGCAGGCAUAUAGUAUGUAUUUUUAAAAUUUUUAUGCAGUAGAAUUGAAUAGAUUAAACAAUUUAAAUCAUAAAACAUGUUUAAGAUCUAAUCUUAAUGCCUACCCUCGGACCUAUAACAUGGCAUAUAUGCAUACAAGGAUCUGAAAAUAAAAUCUGCAUGUAUGAUCGCAUCAUACACGCAUCUGUAGAUCACAUCUAUAUACAUAUAAAGUUUAGAACUUGAUAUCUGAGUGUGGGCAAAAAGAUCUUCGUGUCUGAAUCUCGAGGACUGGAAGGUUGCUCAUAGCUGCACAGGGUGUUUGGCCUCUACAGUUGAUCCACUUGAAGUCCUGUGCUGACCAAUCUUCUCAGGAAUGCUAGUUCGCACGAAGACCUCUUGAUGGCUAAACUGCUCCUAUCUUCAGAUCUCACGGACUCCUCCGAAAUCGAAGACAGACAAGGAGGAUUAGAUGAUGGGAUAAAAAGAUAGAGAACUUCUUUCUCUCUUGGUUUUUCCCUCACCAAAAAUUCUAGAUCUGAUCUAGGUAUCUCACCAAAGAGGAGAAGGUUCUCCUCUAUGCUCACAUGCCCAAGAUGGCCACCCAACCCCAAGACCUCACACCCAAAACCCUAGCCUCAAGCUGGAAACUUCUUCUUCUAUUUUCUCUCUUUCUUGUUUUGUCACACAAUACUCAAGGCUUCUUAUAGAUGGCAUGGAUAGGGAGAAAGAGUCCAAGUUCAAAUCAAAUUCAAACCAAGAUAAGGAUCAAGAUCCAUGCUAAAUUCAAAUCCAAUUUAAAUUCAACUUGAACCAAAUCUUGUCUCAUCCUUAGGGCUCUCGGAGUGGGCGACAUAAAACCUUUUAGCAUGGAGUUUCUCACACAAAUCUAAAUUGGCAUUGAGGUGUGGGUGUGCGCACAAGGGUGGUCGGCGGUAGGAAGGAGUCCAAGCUGAUUUGGACUCUUAGGUUUUAUCCAAUAAGUCUUCAACCUAAUCAAAUUAGGUUAGACCCAAUUGAAUAACUUGAACCCAAUCUAAUUAGGUUCCAAACCUGAUUAAAUCAGAAUUUAUCAAGCCCAAUUUUUGAUCAAAUCAGAAAUGAAUCUUCCUUAGCAAUUAGGUCAUUUCAUAACCUAAUCGGAUCAAAUCAAAUUGAAUCCAAUUCAAUUAAAUUGAAAUCAUAUUAUAUUGCUCAAUCAAAUUGAACUAAUCAACAAGCCAAUUGCUUAUCAAUCCUCCUUUAAUUCAUCAACCCUUAGCAAAUUAAUUUACUAUAAUAUUUGCAUCAAGUUAACCAUUAAUCAUAUUGAUGAUUAAAUCCUAAAAUGAUUCUCAAUCAUUGAUCAGCCACUUGAUUAGAUAGAAAUUUUUUUUGAGUGUGACCCUGUAGGUUCGAACCUAAGCCGGUAGCACAGAAAUAAUUUUCUGAACUAAUCAAAAUAAUCAUCUAGCAAUGAGACUUGACGUCUGGAUAGAUUAAAUGAUUGCAAAGUAAUAUUCAAGAAUCUACUGGCAUAUGGUUACUAUAUAAUUCAUCCCUUUGACCCUAAUGCUCAAGGUGACCUAGGAUUUAACUAUCAACCCUAGAAUAAUCAACCACAUUGUAUCUCAACCUUUCAAAUCUAUUACAUGGAUUAUCCUAAUCAAGAUUUUACUAAAUUAAAAUACAGUGAUGCAUUAACUCCUGAAUCCAAAGGGGUCAAUCUCAUCUUGAUUCACACUUCGACUUAACAAGUAUUUGACUGCAUCCAGAAACCUUUCAUUACUAAAUUAGAAAUUCAGAUAGUCUGGCACUAAAGUAUAAUAAAUUGCUUGUAAGUCACCAUGAUGAUCUCAGAUCGAAGAGACACUUAUAUCUAUACCCUUCGUAAGCUACUCUUGACAGUAGAGUGCUCCGCAAUUGGUCAUGUUCAGUGCAAAUAUACUCCUAUAUUUUACCUGCAUGCCAUACCAGUGUCUCCAUAAUCUUUGGUUAAGAAAAUAAUCAAUCUAUUUGGUACACAACGACCUAUACUUGAUAUUGCUAUCGUCUUAUUAAUAGCAUAUCAUUUAGCUGUGAAUAAGUUUAAGAACUAAAUAAUAAAUCUUUCUUUAUCAAUUUAAAAUAGUCCUAAAGACUUCAUCACAACACAAAAGUUCAUAUAGAAGAUAUACAAAAAAACUUAUGAUGAAUAAUGUUAAAUAAUUUUUAUUAUUAAAAAAUUUAUAUAUAAUUACAAAAUGAGUAUAAUCGUUAACAGACUGACGAUUGACUUUGAGACAUAAUUUCCAACACUACUUGCAUUAGGGCUCCUUGUAUACCUCUAUCUUUGACCACGCCUAGGAGAACCAAAGGAGCGCCAACACUUGGCAUCCUCUAGCCCUCUCCCUCACAUGCCAUAGGGAAGAAGAGGUGAGCCCCUCCUUCUUUCAUAGCAUCAUCAUGUGGGUGUGCUUGAUUUGAUUAAAUCAAGUGGUGCCCUACAAAAAAAUAAUUAAAGAAUUGAUUAGGGAUUUGAACCCCUAAUGCAUAUGAUCCAAAAUUCUAGGCACCCAAUAAUUAGAGCCCAAUAAAUCUAAUUCAUUUAGGUUCUUAGUAAGUAAUUAACUUGAAUUAAUUCUUAUCAAAUAAGAAAUUUAAGUUAAGAGAGGAAUUGGGUUCAACCUUGUGUUAACAAGGUUACUCUGAACCCAAUAGGAUUUUUCUAAAUUUAAUUGAGACUUCAUCAGUCCAAUUGUUUAAUCCAGAUCUAAUCCCUUUGUUGUGUAACCCCAUAGGUCUAAUUCUAUCUAAUAGUGAGAUAUACCAUGAUCUCUAUCAUAGUAUCAGUAAAAUCUUUUUCAAUGGAUCGAAACGAUUCCACUCUAACUCAAUAAGGAUCGUCGAUCCUGAACAAUCCUAGUGAGCUCUCACAAUCCAUCAGUGGCACCUAGUAAUAUAUAAUGACAACCCAGCGGAAUCAAAAAAAAAUCUCAAAGUAUAGUUUUCGUAUGAUUCAGCCCCUCUAUCAUGAGUUUUGAUUAGAUGGCAGGUCAUGAAUUAAUCGUCAAACCUCAUCAUCAGUCACAUGAUAGAUUCGAUCAACUCAAGUCCAAUUGUGAUUCUUAUAGAAACUUCUUUUCGCCACAAACUUACAAACUUAGCCUCUCAAAUCUCAUAGGACUAUUUUUUUCUAUCAAGAUCGAUAGAUUCUAUCUAGAUGCACAUCCUGCUCCUAUAGUAAAUUAACUAUUGCCAACAUUCACUGCAAGGACUCAAUGAGGCCAUGUUUAUAUAUCAGUAAAACUUCAGCAAUCUCACUAUGAGCAAUCAUGCCAUCGCAAGUCAAAAGUUCAUUCACACAACUACAGCAUCGAGACGAUCACUGACGAUUGAAAAGAAAUCUACGUGAUUUCUCAUAUGAUCAUGCUCAGUACUAGUUAUUCUCUAACAACUACCUACACUCAUCGCUCAAUAUUUCUACACUGUAGAUCAGAGACUCAUCUAACUCGAAGGAAGUGAUUUAUGCAUCAGUCUAUCUGGAUCGAUCACCAUCCUCAUGAUGAUGCUAUGUCCAGAAGUAAUUUAAAAAUUAAUUAUCCAUGCAUCUAAUUCUCAAUAUCUUGAAAAUAUGUAUCAUAAGUAUUAAUCCCAUGAAUGAUUCAAGGAUACAUCACACUUGAAUGAAAAUAAAAUUUAUUUUUUUAUUAAUCAAAUCAAUAUUUUAAGUAUAAAAUUAUACCUUAGAGUUCUUACAAUGUGUCGUCAUAUUGGCUUCUAAGAUAUAAUUUAACAAUAUAUCCCUAAUUAUUAUUGAAAUUUGCUUUAUCGAUGAUGAUUGUUUUUAUUAUGGAGUCAAGAUUUAUUCUUGAUGAUAUAUUUUUGUAUAAUCUCUAGUUGAUCUAGAGAAGACCUGCAGUAAUCCCAUUAUUCUAAAUAGUAAAAAAUUCAUAUUAAAAUUGUAGUGUCCUUUUUUGUAGAUUGCUUAAUUACUUUUUGCUUAUUAAUUGUCUGAGUAGAUCAUAGAGAUUAUUGUUUCUUUAUAAUAUCCUAUUUAAUUUGCAUAAACAGAGAAUAGAAGUUUAUGCUAUUAUUGUCCAUGAUUGCAUUUUUUUCCAACAUGAAGCUCAUUAGACUAGGAUCCCCGAGAUCCUUUGGCUAGAAAACAUGAAAACACCUCACUAAAUAUAGUUCUCUCUGUUACAUUUUUCUUCACCCUCCAAAGAAAGUCUCAGCUUAUUCUAUCAUUUUUUUCCAAACAAUUAUUGAUGGAAUGUUAAGACCAAUAAGAGGAGCCUUCCAACAAGAGAAAGAACAUUGUCUUUUCAUACUAGGAAGUUCCAUUCCCAAGGCAUUAAAGUGGGAAAAUAAAGAGGAAACCCUGGACAUUUAAUUAAAAACAAAUAUGAUAUUUGAAAUCCAUUGCUGUUGCUAGGUUGGAAGCUUCCACUUUAUCUAUUCCAAUAUUCCUAACUUUAAGGAUGUGUCAAAGUUGAUCCUCAGCCCUGAAACGAUACAAAAUGAAUUUUAAUAUUGAGGCAUGUUAUGCUGAUGCAUUCCAAAAGAUAAAAGAGUAUCAUCUACAAACUAAAGAAAGUGUAGUGUGCCAGUAAUUUCAUAAGGUCCAAUGCCUUUAAUGAGUUGUUCAUCAGCAACUACCUUGAGGGUUCUAUUGAGGAUAUCUAUGACUAAUGGAAAUAGAAAAGGAGAGGGAGGGUACCCUUGCUUUAAACCCUUUCUGAUCAUGAAAAAUUUAUGCAGUUUCCCAUGAUGAUCACAGUUGAUUUAGAAGAAUGAAGAAAGACAGCUAUCCAUUCACACCAACUACUUCUGAAUCUUCUUGCCUUCAAGAGACAAAGGAGAAAUUUACAAAAUAAUGUUGUCAUAGACCUUUGAAAAAAAAAUCAAUCUGAGGCAGUAUUUCCCCUGGCCUUCAUUUUUCUGCACAAUGAAAUAAUUUCUGCUGCUGCCACAUAAUUGUCCCAUUUCAUCUCCAUUUUAUAAAAUGUGACUAAGAAUAGGGCAUUAAAGAAUCUAAUUUCAGUGAGAGAUGAUUGGCCAAGUCCUUGGAAAUAAUUCUUAUGAUUCCAUUUAUUAGACUAAUAGGCCUGAAAUCCUCGAGUGACAAUUAGUCUACUUUGGAAUGAGAGUUGACAAAUUAUAUUAGAUAACGUAAAAUGCAGUGUAAUAAAAUGAAUUCUUAAAACUAUAUUAGCUAUUUCAUCCAGGGAUGAAGGAGCUGAAAUAGCAAGAUUGAAUCACAAAGGGCUUCCUUUGAUCCAGGUAAGAAUGCCAGGUAAAUCUAUCAAGUUUCGAUAGUGAUUCUUUCUUUCUAAUGUUCAUCCAGGUGGAUUUCAUAUUAGCCAAAAAUAUUUUGAGCAGAUUAUGAGCAUCAAUGAACCUGUUGAAUGUCCUUGAUGCUGAGGAUCUACUAACUCCUUUUAUGUCCAAUGACUAUUGGGUGACAUUGAAGUCACGAACUAUCAGUAAAAGACCUAAAUGCUUUAUUUGGAUAUCUUCGAGCUCUUUGAGCAAGUUGAUGCAAGAUUUUUGGUCAUAAGGCCCAGAGACAUUAGCGAGUAAUCAUUGAACUUUGUUGGACCUGAUGUUGAACAAAAUAUGUGGAGGUGUUUGGUUGGGGGAGUUGGGGUUUGGAAUUAGCAUGGAAAUGGAUGACUCCCAUUCCAACCAUUUUGUUGGGAGGAGUCUCACUUCAACUCUGAUUCAGGGGUGGAAUAGGAAUUGCUCUAUCUACCUAAAAUAAAUCCCUACUCCCUCCUAAAGAUUCAAAUUUUUAUUCUAAUUUCAAUUCUGAUUUCAGUCACGAAAAUGCUUCGAAGGAUUUGGUCAUUCCGAUUUCAAUUUCGAUUCUAAUUUAUUCUAAUUUCGAUUCUGAUUGCAAACCAAACACCCCCGAAGAAAAUUUGCAAUCCAACUAUGGAACCUAAGUACAAUGUUAGAACCAGCAAGCAAUUAGCCCACCAACCCUAUAAUGUCAACGACGUGCCACUGAUACAUGCAAAGACCACAUACUGAUUUGAGCAACUUAGAAUUAAAGUGUUCCAUCAUUAUUUCCUGAAAACAUACUAUUGCAAUGUACCAAAAAAAACAUACUAUUGCACAUGCGGAGGAUUUAACUAGAUCUCUUAUUCUUCUAUAUUUGGAUAGCGUACCCAUUCCUGUCAUGUUCUAAAGGGGACUGACAUCUAAUUUGGACGCAACAAUUUUAAGAGAUGGCACUUCCAAGUAGUGAAAGAAAUUUAUUUGAGGAAGGAGAACCACAAAGAAGAGGAAUAUUUUUGCCACUGAACAUCUAUUUUCUAUUAUUUUAUAAAUGAUAUCUAGUUUGGAUGAAAACUUCUGAAUGACAAACAUUGAACAGAAGUGUAAUACCCAACAUUUUUAAAAAAAAAUUGAAAAUAGGCACAUGCUGGAAUGAUGAUGGGAAAUAAGGCUUCCAUAAGAAAACUCCCAAAAGAGUUCUUAAUUUCCUGAUUAAAAGUCUCAAAACCACUUGAAAAUUUGGUUUAAAUCAAACUCUAAUUCCUCUCCAUUAGAGAUCUAUUUAAAGGCCUCAAUCCCUUAGUUCCCCCUCACCAAACAUUACCAUUUAAUCGCUAUUUUCUUGCCACUUUUCUUCUUGUUUUUCUUGCGGUUUACUUUGGCCAUCAAGAACCAAAUCAAUCAUAGUCGAAGUCUAGGUAAAUCUCUUUAAUUAUCUUCCCCUUAAUCUUCUAUGGGUUUUAAGCUUGAAUUUUUGCCGAUUUUCUACUAGAAAAGCUCUUGAAAUCUUGACUGCCAAUUUUCCAUGUUUUCUCCAUGCUUCGUUUUUGGUUUUCCGUCACCAGUUACCAUCGUUGGUUGCUGGACCUGGGUCAUCGGUCACCACCAUGGCCUAAUCUUCUAGCCACAAGCAUUGCCAACUGGGAGGAGACCCUCUGAUGCGGGACAACCCUAAAGAAGAGAAAAAAAAUCAAUCCUAAUGAUCAAGCUUCCUUCUGUUCAUCAACAACAAAUCACGUCCGGUCAGGGGCUCAUUAUUUUUAGGACAGACAGUAUAGUUGCCUAUACUCUGCUCAGGAGGUGUGAUUAAUUGGUACGAGAUUAAAGCAAGAUCAAUCUAAAUGAUGCAGACAAAUACCAUUCUAGAGAUUAGUAAACAACUAGCAAUAGAAAAGUCAUAAAUAGAUAGUAGAAAUUAAACAUGCUCACGAGUAAAUGCAAAAAAAAGAGAUAUGAAUGGAAUGAGAAAGAGUAAAACAUUAAACCCAUGAGAAAAAUUCAAGAAGAUGAUAAGAAUCCGGAUUGUGGUAGUUAAGAAAUUAUCCUGAUUAAGGCUCUUAAUCUUUUAACCAAACAGAUUCGUUAAUAAAGAACUAGGUCUUUACCAACAUCGGAUCGAAAAUAAAAAAAAUAAAAAUCAAGGAUCAACUAAGAAGGAAUGAAGGUCCUUGACAGCAUAUGAUAUGUAGAAUAAAAGAUCACUCUUUUCUCUCAGCACGAUAGAUAAAAAUUCUGGAGGAGAUAGAUCUCUCUUGGUGGGAUAGGCUUGGGUGGGUAGAUGGUAGAGUCGAAUCAGGAUCGUAGGAACACUGGAUCUUAAAUAGAUGAAGGUUAAAGAGAUAGGAUAGAAAGUGAGCCUCACAUCCUCCCCUUAUCGGAUGAUUUCUUUUGGGUCUCACACCUUCUCCUCUCGAAGCGAUUGACACAAGUAUUUGUGGAGUUUGUAAAAUCAUUCAUUACCCUCUUCAUGAAAGAUACAAAGAUUUAUAUAGGACUCUAGGGGUUCUAUUUCUUUAGGAAUCUUUUAUCUUUUACAAAGAAGAAAUCAAUCCUUCACAAAAAAGUAAAGCACUAUGUCUGAUUUUCAAAUAAAAUAAUCUACCAUGGGAAAGAAAUCAGCCUUCAACAAAAUAAGUAAGUAGCCAAGAACUCUUAAGGAAUCCUCGAGAAUAAAUGGAACUCCAUGUGGUC
rnacentral:lncRNA from 1 species